rnacentral:rRNA from 1 species
UACAGAGGGUGCAAGCGUUGUUCGGAAUUAUUGGUCGUAAAGCGCGUGUAGGCGGCCGUGCAAGUCGGGUGUGAAAGCCCUCGGCUCAACCGAGGAAGUGCGCCCGAAACUGCAUGGCUUGAGUACCGGAGAGGAUGGCGGAAUUCCCCAAGUAGAGGUGAAAUUCGUAGAUAUGGGGAGGAACACCGGUGGCGAAGGCGGCCAUCUGGACGGAUACUGACGCUGAGACGCGAAAGCGUGGGGAGCAAACAGG